rnacentral:rRNA from 1 species
UACGAAGGGGGCUAGCGUUGCUCGGAAUCACUGGGCGUAAAGGGCGCGUAGGCGGCGUUUUAAGUCGGGGGUGAAAGCCUGUGGCUCAACCACAGAAUGGCCUUCGAUACUGGGACGCUUGAGUAUGGUAGAGGUUGGUGGAACUGCGAGUGUAGAGGUGAAAUUCGUAGAUAUUCGCAAGAACACCGGUGGCGAAGGCGGCCAUCUGGACCAUUACUGACGCUGAGGCGCGAAAGCGUGGGGAGCAAACAGG